AUAUCAAUAAGCGGAGGAAAAGAAACCAACAGGGAUUGCCUCAGUAACGGCGAGUGAAGCGGCAACAGCUCAAAUUUGAAAUCUGACUUCGGUCCGAGUUGUAAUUUGCAGAGGGUAUUUGGAAAGCGACAUGGGCCUAAGUCCCUUGGAACAGGGUGUCACAGAGGGUGAGAACCCCGUACGUGGCCACAUGUCAGUUUCAUGUCAAAUCCCUUCGACGAGUCGAGUUGUUUGGGAAUGCAGCUCAAAAUGGGUGGUAAAUUUCAUCUAAAGCUAAAUACCGGCCAGAGACCGAUAGCGCACAAGUAGAGUGAUCGAAAGAUGAAAAGCACUUUGGAAAGAGAGUUAAACAGUACGUGAAAUUGUUGAAAGGGAAGCGCUUGCCAUUAGACCGAUUCAUGAGCUGCAGUCGGAGGCAACUCUCGACGUAAAGCACUCGUUUUUCGGCCAGCAUCAGUUUUGAUGGUUCGACAAAGACGUGGAGAACGUGGCUCUUCGGAGUGUUAUAGCUUCGCGUGUAAUGGAAUCUAUUGGGACUGAGGACCGCGCUUCGGCUAGGAUGCUGGCGUAAUGAUGGCAAGCGACCCGUCUUGAAACACGGACCAAGGAGUCGAUCAUCUAUGCAAGUGUUUGGGUGGAAAACCCAUACGCGGAAUGAAAGUGAACGGAGGUGAGAACCGUAAGGUGCAUCAUCGACCGAUCCUGAUGUCUUCGGAUGGAUUUGAGUAUGAGCAUAGCCGAUCGGACCCGAAAGAUGGUGAACUAUACGUGAAUAGGGUGAAGCCAGAGGAAACUCUGGUGGAGGCUCGCAGCGGUUCUGACGUGCAAAUCGAUCGUCAAAUUUGCGUAUAGGGGCGAAAGACCAAUCGAACUAUCUAGUAGCUGGUUCCUGC
rnacentral:rRNA from 1 species